rnacentral:rRNA from 1 species
GACGAACGCUGGCGGCGUGCUUAACACAUGCAAGUCGAACGGAAAGGCCCUGCUUUUGUGGGGUGCUCGAGUGGCGAACGGGUGAGUAACACGUGAGUAACCUGCCCUUGACUUUGGGAUAACUUCAGGAAACUGGGGCUAAUACCGGAUAGGAGCCCCUGCUGCAUGGUGGGGGUUGGAAAGUUUCGGCGGUUGGGGAUGGACUCGCGGCUUAUCAGCUUGUUGGUGGGGUAGUGGCUUACCAAGGCUUUGACGGGUAGCCGGCCUGAGAGGGUGACCGGCCACAUUGGGACUGCGAUACGGCCCAGACUCCUACGGGAGGCAGCAGUGGGGAAUAUUGCCCAAUGGGCGGAAGCCUGAUGCAGCAACGCCGCGUGCGGGAUGACGGCCUUCGGGUUGUAAACCGCUUUCGCCUGUGACGAAGCGUGAGUGACGGUAAUGGGUAAAGAAGCACCGGCUAACUACGUG